CCUACGGGAGGCAGCAGGAGGGAAUAUUGCUCAAUGGGGGAAACCCGGAAGCAGCAACGCCGCGGGGAGGAUGAAGGUUUUCGGAUUGUAAACUCCUUUUGUUAGAGAAGAGAAUGACGGUACCUAACGAAUAAGCACCGGCCAACUCCGUGCCAGCAGCCGCGGUAAUACGGAGGGUGCAAGCGUGACUCGGAAUCACUGGGCGUUAAGAGCGCGUAGGCGGGAUAGCAAGUCAGAUGUGAAAUCCUAUGGCUUAACCAUAGAACUGCAUUUGAAACUGUUAUUCUAGAGUAUGGGAGAGGUAGGUGGAAUUCUUGGUGUAGAGGUGAAAUCCGUAGAGAUCAAGAGGAAUACUCAUUGCGAAGGCGGCCUGCUAGAACAUAACUGACGCUGAUGCGCGAAAGCGUGGGGAGCAAACAGGAUUAGAUACCCGGGUAGUC
rnacentral:rRNA from 1 species